UGUUACCUUUCAAUAAGACACGACUCGAUGC
rnacentral:piRNA from 1 species